GGGCCGGGGAAGCGAACUCACCGAGCUCGGGCCGCCGACCGCAGGAGCCCUGGACGCCGGCGCUCGCCCUGCCCGAGGCUGCAAAGUUGUGGGCUCGGCCCCGCCGGCUCGCAGCCUCCGCGCGCUCCGCUCCGGGGACUGGGCAGGGGUUGAGAGCCCCAACUCUGGAGCCUGUCCGCCUGGGUCUCCAUAUCCGCCAUUCACCGCGGUGUGAUCUUCAGAUUCCAGUUUCCUCAUCUGUAACAGAGAUGUAAGGCUUGCAUGACAACCUAGGCAGGGUGCUAAGCCUUGAGCAGAAGUCGGCUUGGUUAACCCUCUCAAGCAGAAGUUCAGUCAUCCCCCCAUUGUAUGGAUGAGGAGGUUGAGGCACAGAGAAACUAAGUCGCAUGGCCAGCGUCAUCCCGGGAAGUGACGGAGCCUGGAUUCCAACUAAGGCACAGGCUCUCGGCCUCUGUACAGCCCGAAUCACCCUGAGACCCAGGGGGACCUCUGAUUUGGGAGAAGGGAAGACAACAGAAGGAUUUAUCCAGACACAGUGCUUGAACCAGAAGCUUCUGCCUGGAACCCCAUCCCCACCUCCCUCUUCCAGUCCUUCCCCUUCCUGCCUCCACUAUUCUGAGAUAGCAAGUCAUAACCAAGGGCAACCACAGAGUGCUCCUGAAGUCUCAGAAGGCUUAGUGAGACGCCAUCCCUGCCUGGCUGGAUCCAAAAAACAUCUCUGUCUACUGAAGGUCUGACUCUACCGAUUUUGUAGAGGGAGAAGUGGAGACUCAGAAUGGUUGUGAGAUUUGCCAAGAUUGCAAAGCGUGCCGGCAGCAGAAAUAAAAUCUGGGUCGCGUGAUUCCAGUGUCCAAGUCCCACCGGAUGUGAUUCCUUCUGUCUUUCACACCUAAACCCUGACACUGACGUAGAAAUAAAGAGCCUGUUUUCCUGAUGGCAAAGUAA